rnacentral:rRNA from 1 species
GCAAGUCGAACGGUAACAGGACUAGCUUGCUAGUUGCUGACGAGUGGCGGACGGGUGAGUAACGCGUGGGAAUCUACCGAGUAGAGGGGGACAACAGUUGGAAACAGCUGCUAAUACCGCAUACGUCCUAAGGGAGAAAGAGGGGGAUCCUCGGACCUCUCGCUAUUUGAUGAGCCCGCGUUGGAUUAGCUAGAUGGUGGGGUAAAGGCCUACCAUGGUGACGAUCCAUAGCUGGUCUGAGAGGACGAUCAGCCACAUUGGGACUGAGACACGGCCCAGACUCCUACGGGAGGCAGCAGUGGGGAAUAUUGCACAAUGGGCGCAAGCCUGAUGCAGCCAUGCCGCGUGUGUGAAGAAGGCCUUAGGGUUGUAAAGCACUUUCAAUGGGGAAGAAAAGCGUAGUGUUAAUAGCGCUACGCUGUGACAUUACCCAUAGAAGAAGCACCGGCUAACUCCGUGCCAGCAGCCGCGGUAAUACGGAGGGUGCGAGCGUUAAUCGGAAUUACUGGGCGUAAAGCGCGCGUAGGCGGUAAGACAAGCGGGAUGUGAAAUCCCCGGGCUCAACCCGGGAACUGCGUUCCGAACUGUCUUUCUAGAGUACAGAAGAGGGUGGUGGAAUUUCCAGUGUAGCGGUGAAAUGCGUAGAGAUUGGAAGGAACAUCAGUGGCGAANGCGGCCACCUGGUCUGAUACUGACGCUGANGUGCGAAAGCGUGGGGAGCAAACAGGAUUAGAUACCCUGGUAGUCCACGCCGUAAACGAUGUCUACUAGCUGUUGGGUUCCUUGANGACUUAGUA